rnacentral:rRNA from 1 species
CAGCAGCCGCGGUAAUACGUAGGUGGCAAGCGUUGUCCGGAAUUAUUGGGCGUAAAGGGCUCGCAGGCGGUUUCUUAAGUCUGAUGUGAAAGCCCCCGGCUCAACCGGGGAGGGUCAUUGGAAACUGGGAAACUUGAGUGCAGAAGAGGAGAGUGAAAUUCCACGUGUAGCGGUGAAAUGCGUAGAGAUGUGGAGGAACACCAGUGGCGAAGGCGACUCUCUGGUCUGUAACUGACGCUGAGGAGCGAAAGCGUGGGGAGCGAACAGGAUUAGAUACCCGGGUAGUCCCUGUCUCUUAUAC